CCCCACCGUCAUCCCGGCGGAGGCCGGGAUCUCGGGAGAGAGGAGAAAAGGUCGAGGCAGGAGACGCCUGAGAUCCCGGCCUCCGCCGGGAUGACCGAAAGGA
rnacentral:pre_miRNA from 1 species